rnacentral:lncRNA from 1 species
AGAGGCUCUCGGAUUUCAAAAGCGACAAUCGCGAGAACACCGAAACAUUUAUGUAUCUAAAUCUGAAGUAAUUUUUUGUUGCAAGUCGGUAUGUGUAAACAAUGUAACCCCAAAUUUUGAGGAAUUGCAUUUGGACUCUACUGUUCAUUCUAUUAUGGUUUCAAUUUGUUUAUCCUACAUGAAUACAAAUGGAAUAAUUUUUAGAUAUCUGAAUAUGAAGUAAUUUUCUGUUUUAUGUCUAAUUCAUUAUUUGUAAUCGCGUUAAACUAGAAGUUUGGGCCUUUGUGUAUGUUCUUAUGAGCUGAAUAUAAUACUAGUUAACAAAACUAAAUAGAAUAAUGUGUAGUGGUGUCAAAUACACUAUAUUGGUUAAGAAGAAAUGUACAUAGAAUACUACUUGCAUGAGAAAAUAUAAUAGAUAUGUCUUACAUGGUUUCCAUUCUACAUUGUUGUUCUACUCUACUUAA